GAUGAAGAACGUAGCGAAAUGCGAUAAGUAAUGUGAAUUGCAGAAUUCAGUGAAUCAUCGAAUCUUUGAACGCACAUUGCGCCCGCCAGUAUUCUGGCGGGCAUGCCUGUCUGAGCGUCAUGUCAACCCUCAUGCCCCUAGGGCGUGGUGUUGGGGAUCGGCCAAAGCCCGCGAGGGACGGCCGGCCCCUAAAUCUAGUGGCGGACCCGUCGUGGCCUCCUCUGCGAAGUAGUGAUAUUCCGCAUCGGAGAGCGACGAGCCCCUGCCGUUAAACCCCCAACUUUCCAAGGUUGACCUCAGAUCAGGUAGGAAUACCCGCUGAACUUAAGCAUAUCAAUAAGCGGAGGA
rnacentral:misc_RNA from 1 species